GGCGACGAUCUGUAGCGGGUCUGAGAGGAUGAUCCGCCACACUGGAACUGAGACACGGUCCAGACUCCUACGGGAGGCAGCAGUGGGGAAUUUUGGACAAUGGGGGCAACCCUGAUCCAGCCAUGCCGCGUGAGUGAAGAAGGCCUUCGCGUUGUAAAGCUCUUUCAGCCGGGAAGAAAACGCAUGGGUUAUUACCCUGUGUGGAUGACGGUACCGGAAUAAGAAGCACCGGCUAACUACGUGCCAGCAGCCGCGGUAAUACGUAGGGUGCGAGCGUUAAUCGGAAUUACUGGGCGUAAAGCGUGCGCAGGCGGUUUUGUAAGACAGGCGUGAAAUCCCCGGGCUUAACCUGGGAACUGCGUUUGUGACUGCAAGGCUAGAGUACGGCAGAGGGGGGUGGAAUUCCACGUGUAGCAGUGAAAUGCGUAGAGAUGUGGAGGAACACCAAUGGCGAAGGCAGCCCCCUGGGUCGAUACUGACGCUCAUGCACGAAAGCGUGGGUAGCAAACAGGAUUAGAUACCCUGGUAGUCCACGCCCUAAACGAUGUCAACUAGGUGUUGGGAGGGUAAGACCUUUUAGUACCGGAGCUAACGCGUGAAGUUGACCGCCUGGGGAGUACGGCCGCAAGGUUAAAACUCAAAGGAAUUGACGGGGACCCGCACAAGCGGUGGAUGAUGUGGAUUUCGAUGCAACGCGAAAAACCUUACCUACCCUUGACAUGCCAAGAACUUUCCAGAGAUGGAUUGGUGCCCGAAAGGGAACUUGGACACAGGUGCUGCAUGGCUGUCGUCAGCUCGUGUCGUGAGAUGUUGGGUUAAGUCCCGCAACGAGCGCAACCCUUGUCGUUAAUUGCCAUCAUUUAGUUGGGCACUUUAACGAGACUGCCGGUGACAAACCGGAGGAAGGUGGGGAUGACGUCAAGUCCUCAUGGCCCUUAUGGGUAGGGCUUCACACGUCAUACAAUGGUCGGUACAUAGGGUCGCCAAGCCGCGAGGUGGAGCCAAUCCCAGAAAGCCGAUCGUAGUCCGGAUCGCAGUCUGCAACUCGACUGCGUGAAGUCGGAAUCGCUAGUAAUCGUGGAUCAGCAUGUCACGGUGAAUACGUUCCCGGGUCUUGUACACACCGCCCGUCACACCAUGGGAGCGGGUUCCGCCAGAAGUAGGUAGCCUAACCGCAAGGAGGGCGCUUACCACGGCGGGGUUCGUGACUGGGGUGAAGUCGAACAAGGUA
rnacentral:rRNA from 1 species